AACGAACGCUGGCGGCAUGCCUAACACAUGCAAGUCGAACGAGACCUUCGGGUCUAGUGGCGCACGGGUGCGUAACGCGUGGGAACCUGCCCUUAGGUUCGGAAUAACUCCCCGAAAGGGGUGCUAAUACCGGAUAAUGUCUUCGGACCAAAGAUUUAUCGCCUUUGGAUGGGCCCGCGUUGGAUUAGCUAGUUGGUAGGGUAAAAGCCUACCAAGGCGACGAUCCAUAGCUGGUCUGAGAGGAUGAUCAGCCACACUGGGACUGAGACACGGCCCAGACUCCUACGGGAGGCAGCAGUGGGGAAUAUUGGACAAUGGGCGAAAGCCUGAUCCGGCAAGGCCGCGUGAGUGAUGAAGGCCUUAGGGUUGUAAAGCUCUUUUACCCGGGAUGAUAAUGACAGUACCGGGAGAAUAAGCACCGGCUAACUCCGUG
rnacentral:rRNA from 1 species